UCAGCUGGGCCACUGAUUUCUGCCCUAACUCAGGCUUACCACCUUUGGGCCUGCUGCCAGAGAGCCCAUAUGAAUCCCCUUCCCCCUUCAGACCUAGUUUAAAGCCCUCUCAAUAAGGUCUGCCAGUUCAUGAGCUAAAAACCUUCUGCCCUUAACAGAGGGAUGUAUCCCAUCUGGUUCCAGUAGAGCAGGUCUUUGUCCAUCUGCCAGAGCAAGUGGAAUCAUUGAGUAUAAUAGUAACUUCUCAUUUCUUAAAGAAAAAUAAAAUGCAGUAAAGAAAAACUAAAAUGGCAUCUGGGACUGUGAGGAGGAAGUGACAUCAGAGGCAAGAUGCAAAUGCAGAAACACACCAAAUCCAGCACCUAAAAACCCCUAAAACAGCGAGCCACCAUGAAAUUGAAGGACCUAAAUGACUGCAAAGGGUGAGCAACUAGUUCUAGUGUCCGUAGGGACCUUUUUUAAUCUCUCACUCUAACCACAGAGAUGUCGGCUAGAAUGAGGACCCCAAGGUACAGCCCGGACUUUGGAAUCUCCUGCCACUCCCAUGAGGACGGAAUCCCCAGCUCUGCCUGCAUGCAAAGUGGGCAAAGCUGCACUCCUCCUCCUCCAUGCCACUCUGGGAAGCAGUGGCGGUGUGUGCGCAACCCAUCGGGUCCCCAUCCGAACCGGUCACUUUUUAAUAAAGGCAUUUUAAAAGAA